CGAGUGGCGAACGGGUGAGUAACGCGUGAGGAACCUGCCUCAAGGAGGGGGACAACAGUUGGAAACGACUGCUAAUACCGCAUAAGCCCACGACCCGGCAUCGGGUAGAGGGAAAAGGAGCAAUCCGCUUUGAGAUGGCCUCGCGUCCGAUUAGCUAGUUGGUGAGGUAAUGGCCCACCAAGGCGACGAUCGGUAGCCGGACUGAGAGGUUGAACGGCCACAUUGGGACUGAGACACGGCCCAGACUCCUACGGGAGGCAGCAGUGGGGAAUAUUGCACAAUGGGGGAAACCCUGAUGCAGCGACGCCGCGUGGAGGAAGAAGGUCUUCGGAUUGUAAACUCCUGUUGUUGAGGAAGAUAAUGACGGUACUCAACAAGGAAGUGACGGCUAACUACGUGCCAGCAGCCGCGGUAAAACGUAGGUCACAAGCGUUGUCCGGAAUUACUGGGUGUAAAGGGAGCGCAGGCGGGAAGACAAGUUGGAAGUGAAAUCCAUGGGCUCAACCCAUGAACUGCUUUCAAAACUGUUUUUCUUGAGUAGUGCAGAGGUAGGCGGAAUUCCCGGUGUAGCGGUGGAAUGCGUAGACAUCGGGAGGAACACCAGUGGCGAAGGCGGCCUACUGAGCACCAACUGACGCUGAGGCUCGAAAGUGUGGGGUAGCAAACAGGAUUAGAUACCCUGGUAGUCCACACUGUAAACGAUGAUUACUAGGUGU
rnacentral:rRNA from 1 species